UACGUAGGGGCCAAGCGUUGUCCGGAUUUAUUGGGCGUAAAGAGCUCGUAGGCGGUUCGGCAAGUCAGCUGUGAAAUCUCCACGCUCAACGUGGAGGGGUCAGCUGAUACUGCUGUGACUCGAGUCCGGUAGGGGAGUGUGGAAUUCCCGGUGUAGCGGUGAAAUGCGCAGAUAUCGGGAGGAACACCAGUAGCGAAGGCGGCACUCUGGGACGGUACUGACGCUGAGACGCGAAAGCGUGGGGAGCGAACAGG
rnacentral:rRNA from 1 species